rnacentral:rRNA from 1 species
UACGUAGGGUGCAAGCGUUGUCCGGAAUUAUUGGGCGUAAAGGGCUCGUAGGCGGUUUGUCGCGUCGGGAGUGAAAUCCACUGGCUUAACUGGUGGCUUGCUUUCGAUACGGGCAGACUGGAGGUAUGCAGGGGAGAACGGAAUUCCCGGUGUAGCGGUGAAAUGCGCAGAUAUCGGGAAGAACACCCGUGGCGAAGGCGGUUCUCUGGGACGGUACUGACGCUGAGACGCGAAAGCGUGGGGAGCGAACAGG